rnacentral:rRNA from 1 species
AGAAUCAACGCUGGCGGCGUGCCUAACACAUGCAAGUCGCACGAGAAAGGGUAGCAAUACCUGAGUACAGUGGCGCACGGGUGAGUAACACGUGAAUAAUCUACCUCCGAGUGGGGAAUAACUGAGAGAAAUCUUAGCUAAUACCGCAUAAUACCCACGGGUCAAAGCAGCAAUGCGCUUGGAGAGGAGUUCGCGGCAGAUUAGUUAGUUGGCGGGUAAUGGCCCACCAAGACGAUGAUCUGUAU